rnacentral:rRNA from 1 species
AGCGGAGGAAAAGAAACUAACAAGGAUUCCCCUAGUAACGGCGAGUGAAGCGGGAAGAGCUCAAAUUUGUAAUCUGGCCCUUUCAGGGUCCGAGUUGUAAUCUCGAGAAGUGUUUUCCGCGCCGGACCGCA